rnacentral:ncRNA from 20 species
AAUUUGUCGAAUAAAUAGGCUUCCAAAAAAUCAAAAAAGUGCGUAUUAUAUGCGCCUGAAUAUCAGCAUAUGCUGACAAUUAGAUGAUAUAAACAAGUACGGUUUUUUUAGCCGUACUUUUUAUUUGGAUGAUCCAUAAAAAAACUGCUUCAAUUUUAAUCACUUAUGUAAGA